UGUAAAGUUCAAGCUCCGAUUAUGAGGGCGAAACCGCGAAUGGCUCAUUAAAUCAGUCAUAAUCUACUUGAUUGUUUAAAGUUUAUAUGGAUAACUGUGGUAAUUCUAGAGCUAAUACAUGCACAAAAGGGGCGACUUCCCUCCAGUGGAAGAAGCUUCGCGUUUAUUAGACUAAGACCGGCGGUUAAUUUACUUCGGUAAAUUAAUCUCGCUAAAUCAAGGUGACUCUGAGUAAAUAAUGGGUGAAAGCCCAUGUUGCCGACCUGACACACCAAAAGAACCCUCAAAAGUUCUGUCAGGCGAAUCAAUCGAGUGUCUGCUCUAUCAACUGUGGAUGGUAGGAUAAUUGCCUACCAUGGUGAUGACGGGUAACGGGGAGUUAGGGCUCGACUCCGGAGAACAAGCCUGAGAAACGGCUAGUAGGACUAAGGUCUGCAGCAGGCGCGAAACUUACACAAUGCUAGAUUUUCAUUAAAUAGAGCGAUGUAGUGAAGAAAAAUAACGAUGUACUUGUAUUUAAACAUACUAGUACAAUUGGAAUGAGACGACUCUAAACCAGUUAGUCGAGUAACAAAUGGAGGGCAAGUCUGGUGCCAGCAGCCGCGGUAAUUCCAGCUCCAUUAGCAUACAUUAAAGUUGUUGCGGUUAAAAAGCUCGUAGUUGAAUUUUUAGCGGGCUCUAUUGGGAUGCGGUCGUUCAAAAUUGUGCUUAGAGAGAGAGUCUGGUUAACUCCAACUCCUCUUUUACUCAAUUGACCGUAUUUUCCCUGAUAGGAACCCGUUGUUUCGUCACUUAAUCGAGUGCGAAGCGAGUUGGCGACACCAAGGGUAAAUGCUCACGCAUCUCCCUAUGUCACAACAAGUUUACCUUGAGAAAAUUAGAGUGCUCACAGCAGGCAGUUGAAAUGUAAAAAUUUCUUUAUGCUUGAAUAAUGUUGCAUGGAAUAAUAGAAUACGGCCUCGGUUCUAUUCUGUUGGUCUUAUAGAACAACAAACAAGUUGAUUAGGGCAUCAAACGAUUUUGGUUGGCAUGUGAUUUGUGUUAUUCGCUUCUGUUACCUAGGGCCUUAAAAUCUUAGCUUGUCUCAGCUAACACUUAUCAUCUAAAGCAUCCAUACCAAUUAAUCAGCCUUUCAAUCAACUGAGGCAAUGGUUAAAAGAAAUAGUCGCGGCGGCAUCAGUACUGCAUCGUGAGAGGUGAAAUUCUUAGACCGAUGCAAGACUAACUGAAGCGAAAGCGUUUGCCGAGGAUAUUUUCAUUAAUCAAGAACGAAAGUUAGAGGUUCGAAGGCGAUCAGAUACCGCCCUAGUUCUAACCAUAAACGUUGCCAACUAGCAAUUGGGUUGCGAUUCCUUUAAUUGAAGCCUAAAAAACUUCAAUCAUUAUGAUCCACCCAGCGGCUCUCGUAGGGAAACCAAAGUGUUUGGGUUCCGGGGGAAGUAUGAUUGCAAAGUUGAAACUUAAAGGAAUUGACGGAAGGGCACCACCAGGAGUGGAGCCUGCGGCUUAAUUUGACUCAACACGGGGAAACUUACUAGAUUAGAACUCUGGAAUGAUUGACAGAUUGAUAGCUCUUUCUUGAUUCAGAGGAUGGUGGUGCAUGGCCGUUCUUGAUUCGUAUUCCGAAACGUCUGCUUAAUUGCGAUAACGAGUGAGACCUCAUCCAACUAACUAGUCGUUUUGGUGCGCUGUGGAACGCAAAAGUCUUGAUAGGAUUUUGUUCAAGUGGCUUUCAUUAAAGUUGGGCAACUAAUUUCUAAUGAUCUCAUUUGACUGCCUGUUUUAGAUGUUCUCUGCUCGCCAGCGGACUUCUUAGAGGGAUAAACGGUGUUUUAGCCGUAAGAAACGAGGCAAUAACAGGUCUGUGAUGCCCUUAGAUACUCUAGGCCGCACGCGUGCUACAAUGGCGUGUGCAGAAAGCUUGUUCGAGGUUUGUCUAAAGAGAACUACUUGUUUGGUUUAAGUUGGAGUAGCAAUAUUUUACCUUUAAUCGACAAGCAAGUGACUUUAGUUAGCAGGCCGAGAGAAACCAUAGUCGAAAGAUUAUGGCAAUCAAAAAUACACGCCGUGAUUUGGGAUUGGGGAUUGCAAUUGUUGCCCAUGAACGAGGAAUUCCCAGUAAGCGCAAUUCAUCAUAUUGCGUUGAUUACGUCCCUGCCCUUUGUACACACCGCCCGUCGCUACUACCGAUUGGAAGUUUUAGUGAGGCAUUUGGACCUGCUAAGCAAGAUUGGGGCAACCCAAUCAGCUUUGGCGGGGAAGUCUGUCGAACUCAAAUUUCUAGAGGAAGUAAAAGUCGUAACAAGGUUUCCGU
rnacentral:rRNA from 1 species